CGGGAGUAAUGUCUGGGAAACUGCCUGAUGGAGGGGGAUAACUACUGGAAACGGUAGCUAAUACCGCAUAACGUCACAAGACCAAAGUGGGGGACCUUCGGGCCUCAUGCCAUCAGAUGUGCCCAGAUGGGAUUAGCUAGUAGGUGGGGUAACGGCUCACCUAGGCGACGAUCCCUAGCUGGUCUGAGAGGAUGACCAGCCACACUGGAACUGAGACACGGUCCAG
rnacentral:rRNA from 1 species